GCAAUAAGAGCCACUCAGGAUAGCCAAGGAGACUGCCCAUGAGACCACUGGAAGCCUCGUUAUUUGCUGAUCCUUCAGAGAGGACACAGGCAAGUCAUCCUUGGCUACCAGAGCCAAACUCUUAUC
rfam:Dichanthelium oligosanthes cultivar Kellogg 1175 unplaced genomic scaffold Do_version_2_scaffold6214, whole genome shotgun sequence.